GGCGGCCCCUCCCUAUAAAGGGGUGGCUGCCGGCGGAGGGGCCGGUGCUGUCCCGCCCCGGGUAGCCGUGGAGGGGCCGGUGUGAGCCAAGGGAGCGAGCGCAGCUGUCGCCGAGCUGAGGCUGCACCGAGGGAGAAGAGGCUGCGCUGAGGACGUGGUUGUCCGUUCCUCCCAUGGGGUUGCUGUUGCCUGCACCCGCCUCAGGCUUGCAUGGGUUGUCUCUGCCUGGCCUCGUUCUCCUUGCGGCAUGGGGGCGAAAAGGGAUGGUUGGAGCACUUACUGCCUGUGGACAGGUGGCGCAGCAGCUGAAGCUGGAGAGGCCAGAUUAAAGGCAGAUGCUGAAGUUGUGCUCAGCACCUCAGAAUACUGUGACUGGAUUACAGAGGGCGUUUCUCGCAGUUUUCUCUCCAUUUCUAGCAGGACAAAGGCAAUUUCUGUGCAGUGUUACCAGAUGGGGUGUUUUAAAGUCUUUUCACUAGUCCUUUGGCCAUAAAAUGCUGUGUCUAAUUGUUCAAGGCCGCUCGCAACACUCCCUGCGAAUCCCACAGCAGCCAGUUUCUUCUACCCCACUGGGAGCCAAGCAUGGGAGCUGCAAGCUGAGAUACCCCCGUGCGUGGGGUGUGCUCAUACUCACUGCUGGGCCCUGGCUGCCAAAAGACCUCGUCCAUCCCCUGCAGGUGCCCGAAGGCCUCUCUGCAUGCAUGGUCUCCCCAUGGUGACAGCUGAAGAGAGAGAUAUUUUAACAUCGUGGACAACAACCCUCACAUCAUUGACCCCUAAUCAGUGUGCUGGAAAACAAGCAGAGGAGACGUGGGGUUAGAUGAACUGCCAUGGCUGUGAGCCCACGUUAAAGACAAGAGAAAACGUUGAUCGACCAAGAUGAUGAACACAAGAUCCAAGGUAUUUCUGCCUCCCAGGAGGAGAAGCCCUGUUUCCUUUGGCAGGGAAGGCAGCACCUGCUCUUACAGACUGUCCUUGUGAAAGCAGCGAGCGUGAUCUACUGCUGCUAUAUUGGGCAAUAUAAAGAAUGAAUGGGAUCAGUCACCAGGAUGAUUUCUGUGUUGAGGUGCCAGGAGUGAUGCCAAGAUGCUCCCUGAUGCCGCUGAUGUCAAGGCGAUGUGCUGCACCUGGAUGAAAAUGAACCCGACCUGAACCGAACAGAGCCCUCUGGCUCUAGGGGGCUGGAGGCAGCCGUGACCCCGAGCUGUCCAGGGGAAAUACCUGAUUCUAGGAUUGUCUAAAAUCGAGCUGUCAUUGCAUCCACGUGGGGACAUCUAACGUCUCUGAAGGAGAAGCAUUAAACCUGGAAACACAUUGCCAGCCUGGCAGUGGCUCAUACUGAGCACAGCCGUGAGUGGCUGAUGCUGCCACCGCGCAGCCCCAGCCAGCAGUGCAGGAAGCAACAGCAUGACUCUCCACCCGAGCAGAACUGUCACACCGUGCAGAGACACGAACCCGAGCUGUUCGCUUCAGGCACAGGACCUGUAACGGAGCCUCCUGCAACCACGCUGCGGCAUCCUCACUUUCACACCCAGCUGCCUGUGUGUUUCCAGUUGCGUCACUAACAGCACUGACGGAUCCGCAGUGCAAUGUGUGCCCCACCACACACUUCUGUGCCAGUGUUAUCACCGUGGACAAUUACCUGUGGGACCAAGAAAAAGCACCAGGAGGUCCAGGUGACUGACGACAUCCCCAGCAGUGAGUUUGAGGAGUCAGCGUUUCUGACAGCACAGGCACCUCCUUGGCCAAAGCCUGGCAUCUUGACGGCAAUGGGCAGCGACGCAGCAUCCCCUGCCCUCGCUGGCAGCCAGAUUCCCAACAAGUGAGAGAAACCCAGCCAGGAGCAAGUGCUGGGCCUCGGCCAGAGCCCAAGGCCAGGGCCUGCCCCAUCACAGCCACCGACCCCCACAGAUACGAGUUGUCUGCCCCAGUGGGGUGUUCAUGGUACCAGCAUGUGAGGGCUGCUGGGAGGUCAUGGGGCACCAGGGCUGGUGUCCCUGUCCUUGUUGCCACACCCAUAGCUCCUCUGGCCCUGUGGCUCAUGUCAGGGGCCUGUAACGCGUGGGAAACGGGGUUAUUUGGUGCUGGGGUGAGAAUCAGCCUGUGGGGAAAAAGGGAAACCAACAUCACCUUCCCCUCCCAUGGCUCCCUGUGCUUGUCACUCUCACCUCAUCUCUCCCCCAGCCUGCCUCCCUACGGCACAGCCCCGUACCCAGAGCAGGCCUGCCCCGUGGCUCCCCAGGGAUGCCCCCACCUGCAGAUACCGUGUGUGCACCCCCCG